rnacentral:rRNA from 1 species
AUUGAACGCUGGCGGCAUGCCUUACACAUGCAAGUCGAACGGCAGCACGGGGCAACCUGGUGGCGAGUGGCGAACGGGUGAGUAAUGCAUCGGAACGUACCUUUCAGUGGGGGAUAACGUAGCGAAAGUUACGCUAAUACCGCAUAUUCUGUGAGCAGGAAAGCAGGGGAUCGCAAGACCUUGCGCUGAUUGAGCGGCCGAUGUCAGAUUAGCUAGUUGGGGGGGUAAAGGCUCACCAAGGCGACGAUCUGCAGCGGGUCUGAGAGGAUGAUCCGCCACACGGGAACUGAGACACAUUCCAGACUCCUACGGGAGGCAGCAGUGGGGAAUGUUGGACAAUGGGGGCAACCCGGAUCCAGCCAUGCCGCGGAAGUGAAGAAGGCCUUCGGGUUGUAAAGCGCUUUCGGCCGGGAAGAAAUCGCACGGGCUAAUACCCUGUGUGGAUGACGGUACCGGAAUAAGAAGCACCGGCUAACUACGUGCCAGCCGCCGCUGUAAUAC